AAAAUCUCACACUUUUGUUAUUUUUCCUCUUUAAAUACGCUGCUCUCUCACCCUCUUUCUUCAUGUUGCUCUCUCUCUCUCCCUCUCUUCACAUUGCGCUCUCUCUCUUCCUCUUCCUCUUCACAUUGUUGUCCUUCUCUUUCAGGACAUAAUGAGCGUUACAUCAUUAUCAAGAGAAGAUUUCAGCAUUCUUUACAAACGGUGCACAAAUAUUUUCAUGAGGUUUUUGAAGCAAUAAUGAAAUUUGCAAAAGAAAUGAUUCACCUACAAUAUCUGAUUCGAAUAUGAAUAUUCCCGGUGUUCAUAAUAAGAUGUUGCAAAAAAUAUUUAAGAGAGAAAUAUGUGCACUAGAUGGGACAUUAGUACACACUGUUGUUCCUGUUAAUCAAUAAAUUGUUCGUAGAGGAAGAGAAAGAGGUAAUAUUUGAUGAAGAAGAAUUACAAGAAGAAACAUUGGAGGAAACAAACGGACCUAGUUGAACAGUUGAAGAUUCUUAGAUGAUGCACAAUAUGCGUGAGGAACUUGCACUCAAGCUAAUGCAACAAAAUUGAAGAGCUUGAGAGUUCAAUAAUUUAGUUAUUAAUUUUUUUUCAUCAGUGAAAAGUUAAAAUUAGAUGAUUAUUAGUUAGUUAUUCAAAUACUUUAAUAUUUAUAUAUGCAUCAAAACACAAAAUUAUAUCUGACUAAUUGUUUUCGUUUGUUGGAUCAGUUUAAAUGAUAGAUUACUUUGUGUUAAA